UACGUAGGGGGCAAGCGUUGUCCGGAAUUAUUGGGCGUACAGAGCGCGUAGGCGGUCCGAUAAGUCGGCUGUGAAAGUCAGGGGCUCAACCCUUGAAAGCCGGCCGAUACUGUCGGACUAGAGUCCGGAAGAGGCAAGUGGAAUUCCCGGUGUAGCGGUGAAAUGCGCAGAUAUCGGGAGGAACACCAAUGGCGAAGGCAGCUUGCUGGGACGGUACUGACGCUGAGGCGCGAAAGCGUGGGGAGCAAACAGG
rnacentral:rRNA from 1 species